AUAUAUACAUAUAUAUAUAUAUAUAUAUAUAUAUAUAUAUAUAUAUAUAUAUUCUUUUUUAUUUAAAAAAUACUGUCAUCAGAAAAUGGAAUCUUUUGGAGCAAAAACAACAUUAUGUUGUGAGUCAGACGUUGACAACUGAAAAUACAUUAUUUUGGACCCAAAAACUGGCAACAGAAUAUAUAGUGUUUUGGAGAAAACUCUGGAAUCUAUAUAUAUAUAAUACUAUAUAUAUAUAUAUAUAUAUAUAUAUAUAUAUAUAUAUAUAUAUAUAUAUAUAUAUAUAUAUAGUGAUUUGGAGCAAAAACCGGAUACAGAAAAUAAAUUUUAAAAAAUGGCAACAGAAUAUAUGUAGCUUUAUAACAACACUGCGUGACUUUUGUGUGAUUCCAGCCGGAACUUUUAUUUCAUUAUGUCACAGUGUCCUGCAAACGAACGUAUCCGGGUGUCGUUAGUGGAAGUUUUACCUAUAUUUUAAAUUGUAUUUUCUUUCGUGUAAGACAAGCCAAACAUAAUGUUUGCAUGUAUAUAACAUUUAGUGGAAACGAAGUAGUCAUAUCCAACCGGAUGGCUUUUAUAGUGAGGUGUUGGUUAGUGAGGAAAUAAAUAUAUCAAAUAAAUAUACCGUCAUUUCAGGCUGUGUACUUAUGGAAAAAAAAAGUGUAUUUCAAGGAAGACUCAGUGCCUGUGUGAGCGACUAUAAAUGAAUUGCAUUAUUGGAAAGUUAUGAUGGACGUAUAUUCAUGUUUUAUGUAUAUUAAUAUACAGUCAUGUGUAACUCAUGUCUAUUGGUAGCUCAUUUAAUACUACUUACAUCAUCAACAAGUACUGCUACUACUACAAUUGUACUACUAUGAUGUACGAGUAUUCAUGUUUUAUGUAUAUUCAUAUACAGUGACGUGUAACGCAUGUACAUUUGUAACUUAAGCAUAUUACUUACAUCAUCAACAAGUACAACUAUUACAGUGCAACUAUGCCACGCUUACCCCUUCUACUCUAUCAGAUAGAGGUAGCUGUAAAUUUAAAGUAUUAUUUAAAUAGUACAUUAUUCAAUUUCUCCAGAAAGAGAAUAGCAUGCCAUUAACUUUUUUCAAAUAAGAAUAAAACUUGUACUUUGAUCAAAAUCAUUGCUACUCUCCAGGAAGGAAUGAAGUGUUAUUAACGAAUUUUGUGAAUAAUUCUCUUAAUCUCACAUUUUAAAGCACAAACCUAAACUGAGCUUUAGACAUGAAAUACUGCUGAUAAUUCAUGAAGUUGUUUAUGAUGAAUGUUGUUCAAAGUUUAUUAAACAAAGAAUAACAA